GGGUGGUAAUGCCGGAUGCUCCAGUUGACCGCAUGGUCCUCUGGGAAAGAUUCAUCGGUAUGGGAUGGGGUCGCGUCCUAUCAGCUUGAUGGCGGGGUAACGGCCCACCAUGGCUUCGACGGGUAGCCGGCCUGAGAGGGCGACCGGCCACAUUGGGACUGAGAUACGGCCCAGACUCCUACGGGAGGCAGCAGUGGGGAAUAUUGCACAAUGGGCGCAAGCCUGAUGCAGCGACGCCGCGUGCGGGAUGACGGCCUUCGGGUUGUAAACCGCUUUUGACUGGGAGCAAGCCCUUCGGGGUGAGUGUACCUUUCGAAUAAGCACCGGCUAACUACGUGCCAGCAGCCGCGGUAAUACGUAGGGUGCAAGCGUUAUCCGGAAUUAUUGGGCGUAAAGGGCUCGUAGGCGGUUCGUCGCGUCCGGUGUGAAAGUCCAUCGCUUAACGGUGGAUCCGCGCCGGGUACGGGCGGGCUUGAGUGCGGUAGGGGAGACUGGAAUUCCCGGUGUAACGGUGGAAUGUGUAGAUAUCGGGA
rnacentral:rRNA from 1 species